rnacentral:rRNA from 1 species
UACGUAGGGUGCGAGCGUUAAUCGGAAUUACUGGGCGUAAAGCGUGCGCAGGCGGUUCGUUAAGUUCGUUGUGAAAGCCCCGGGCUCAACCUGGGAACUGCAAUGGAAACUGGCGGGCUUGAAUGCGGCAGAGGGGGGUGGAAUUCCAGGUGUAGCGGUGAAAUGCGUAGAUAUCUGGAGGAACACCGGUGGCGAAGGCGGCAUCCUGGACCGGCAUUGACGCUGAGGCGCGAAAGCUAGGGGAGCAAACGGG